UACGUAGGGUGCAAGCGUUAAUCGGAAUUACUGGGCGUAAAGCGUGCGCAGGCGGUCUGUUAAGACCGAUGUGAAAUCCCCGGGCUUAACCUGGGAACUGCAUUGGUGACUGGCAGGCUUUGAGUGUGGCAGAGGGAGGUAGAAUUCCACGUGUAGCAGUGAAAUGCGUAGAGAUGUGGAGGAAUACCGAUGGCGAAGGCAGCCUCCUGGGCCAACACUGACGCUCAUGCACGAAAGCGUGGCGAGCAAACAGG
rnacentral:rRNA from 1 species